rnacentral:rRNA from 1 species
AUUGAACGCUGGCGGCAUGCUUUACACAUGCAAGUCGAACGGCAGCGCGGGCUUCGGCCUGGCGGCGAGUGGCGAACGGGUGAGUAAUGCAUCGGAACGUGCCCAGUAGUGGGGGAUAGCCCGGCGAAAGCCGGAUUAAUACCGCAUACGACCUGAGGGUGAAAGCGGGGGACCGAAAGGCCUCGCGCUAUUGGAGCGGCCGAUGUCGGAUUAGCUAGUUGGUGGGGUAAAGGCUUACCAAGGCGACGAUCCGUAGCUGGUCUGAGAGGACGACCAGCCACACUGGGACUGAGACACGGCCCAGACUCCUACGGGAGGCAGCAGUGGGGAAUUUAGGACAAUGGGGGCAACCCUGAUCCAGCCAUGCCGCGUGAGGGAAGAAGGCCUUCGGGUUGUAAACCGCUUUUGUUCGGGAAGAAAUCCUCUGGGCUAAUACCCCGGGGGGAUGACGGUACCGGAAGAAUAAGCACCGGCUAACUACGUG